GUCUGGUACUCCUGGUAAGUCUUCUUCACUGUCUGGUACUGUACUCCUGGCAAGUCUUCCUUAACGUCUGGUACUCCUGGUAAGUCUUUCUCACUGUCUGGUACUCCUGGUAUCACCGCGACGUCAUCACCUGCGUGUCGCACUUCAACGCUGAGACACAAGUCCGUCUCGACUACAUCAAUAUCUGCCUCUCUUACCCUUAUGUAGAAGAGAAUGGCUCCAGGAGGUAUAUACUCUUCUACCGC
rnacentral:misc_RNA from 1 species